rnacentral:rRNA from 1 species
ACUCCUACGGGAGGCAGCAGUGGGGAAUAUUGCACAAUGGGGGAAACCCUGAUGCAGCCAUGCCGCGUGUGUGAAGAAGGCCUUGGUUGUAAAGCACUUUCAGUAGGGAGGAAGGUAGUGUAGUUAACACCUGCAUUAUUUGUACGUUACCUACAGAAGAAGCACCGGCUAACUCCGUGCCAGCAGCCGCGGUAAUACGGAGGGUGCGAGCGUUAAUCGGAAUUACUGGGCGUAAAGCGCAUGCAGGCGGCCUGUUAAGUCAGAUGUGAAAGCCCGGGGCUUAACCUCGGAAUUGCAUUUGAAACUGGCAGGCUAGAGUCUUGUAGAGGGGUUAGAA